rnacentral:lncRNA from 1 species
GGUCAGGGAUUGCAAUCGAAAGCAGUCCUUAGGCUGACGAAAUUCUUUUAUUCUUCACACUCACUAAGACAGUUGAUAGAUCUGGAUAAGGCAAAGAUUAGAUUUGAGUGGCACUCUCUUAAUGAGUAAAAAGAUCUCUCCUCAAAGCAAAGACUUGCAGCGCUUAUGCUUUUUCCCUUCCUAUUGUCCUUACUAAAGCAGCUAAAUCUAAAACAGAGCUAAAUCGAUGGCACUUCGCCCCCUUAUAGCCUUCUAGUAGCCCCAACCUUGAGAAAUCACAUAAAACCCCCGUAUUUUGAGCAUCAACUUGAUUUCCGCUCUAUGAGAGCCUUUUCAAUUGGAGACUGUUCCAAUUUCUUACUGAGAUAGACAAGCAACGACUUUUGGUUAAGCCAACUAAACUAGACUUAUUGCUUCAUCUUCUGCAUGCUUUUGCUAUCUGUCUUUCCAUCCAGCUUUGCUUUGGGACUUGUUUCACCUUCAGUUUGAAAUCUUAGGUUUUGGGGCCUUCUCUUUUGAAUUGGCGCUGGACUGAGACUAGGCAAUUGAGCUAUAUCAGGGACUUAGCCUUCGACAGGACUGGAAUCUUUGACUGGAAUGAAGCACCUCGAGAGUCGAACUCGAGUACUUCUUACGAAGUGCCUUCUAAAGAAGUGGAUACCAACUUGGUUAGAGUUACCUUUUUUGUUAUAGUUACGAACGAUAGGGAAGGCAAGGGCAAAAGCCUUUACCUUGGUUUAUUUGUUUGAAAGACGAAGGAAAGGUUUUCGGUUGUUUAUCUGCCUUUCUUUCUUCAACUCUGACUUCUCCGCCCCAUUUUCCUAAGUAUCCGAAUCCGAAGGUUCUUUCUUUUUUUGUAUCUGAUUCUGAUGCACUUUCUGCCUCAACUUCCAAUUCUUCAUCGGAUUCCUCACACUAGCUUGAACAGUGCUUUACAAAAGAAGUUUACGCCUGAGAGUGAGAGAUAGAACCAGGUUGGGAAAUAGCUUUCUCACCUACAGAAUAAAUAAAAGGACAAAAACCAGGUGCUUGACUUCUCCAAUCACAUGUCUUAUUAAGCAUACGAAAAUGGAACCUCUUUUCCCAAGAACUCCACCCACUGAUCCUUCCCAUUCGCAACCUCCUCUUUCGACGCUGCUAUGAGCCUGGCCCUAAUCUCAUCCAUGAUAGGAUAGAUAGAAGAUCCAAAAAUCCCUGCACUUGCUUCCUUGCUUGAUGGGAUGGAGGCUUAUAGAUAAGAAAGGCUAUUGAUCAAAGCCCUUUCUAUCCCGUUCCGCUUCUUUGGCUGACACCGGUCGAUAGCCCAUGAUCUGAGACAGAGGCUAGCUCAUUGCCAAAGCAGCUUGGAAAACUCCUAAUAUGAAAAUCAUUUUGCUUGGUUAGUUGGCUAACUUACAUUUCAUUCAAGACUUCCUAGGGCUUUGACGUAGACUGCAUCAAGAGUCUGACUAGUCGGGCUGUGAGGGCGUUUAGGUCUCGAUGAGAGAUCUAAUCUAAGGGUCAUCCAUGCCGAAAGUCGAGUUGGCUAAAGGCUGCUCUAAUACAUUGCCUUCUCGAAAGAUUACUAAAUAGGAUUCGGGCUCUGAUUUCAUCCUAUUUUUUUGAAAUGGUGGUCAUCCGUGCGAAAGAAUGCAUGCAUGAAAUUAGCUGCCACCUUCGUUUCCUUUCACUUUGUUGCUUGACCCGGCCAAUGGCCAAUAGAGAGAGAUUUUUCAGUGGAAUUCUUAUCAUCUGGACAUGAAAAAGAAAUGAAUUGAUAGAGUCAAGUCAUCAGUAUCACCCAGUACAUCCAGUACAUGGGGUACGAGCAGGUAAGCCCAAGAGCGAAAACCUCCUCUUGUUAGAGCCAGUUUUUUCUUCCUUAACCCCCCGCUAUGCCAGCUAAGGGGCUUUUAAGCCUUUCGGGUUAAGCCGGGUAGGUAGGGGAUUUUUCACUCUAGUGCUUUUGCUUCCAAGUCUUGUUCUUCCAAUGUUAACUUCUAGUUUCAAGUCUAACCUCCUAGACACUUCCCCCCAGAUUACAAUAGAGGGCCACUCCUGUUAAAGAGGUUUCCUCUCUCUCAAUCAAAUGUAAAAGAAGGGGUCUCCCCUCUUCGCUACCUUUUCAAGAGGCAGAAGCUACCCUAAGCCCUACAGUUCCUUCCUUUUGUUUUCUUUCAAUGGCUGCUAGUUGAAAUGUCAGCUCUCUUGCUUUCUCUUCACCGGGUGAGGAUCCUAAAUCCAUUUUUCUUUCGCCUGGUAUGAAUUCCUAAUUAGUAGCCCUACCGAUAACAAGGGAUUCGGUAGCUGCGGUUAUUGAAAGGAGCUCCUCUUC